rnacentral:rRNA from 1 species
UACGUAGGGGGCGAGCGUUGUCCGAAUUCACUGGGCGUAAAGCGCGCGUAGGCGGACCUUUAAGUUGGGGGUGAAAUGCCGAGGCUCAACCUCGGAACUGCCUUCAAAACUGGGGGUCUUGAGGUAUGGAGAGGGAAGUGGAAUUCCAGGUGUAGCGGUGAAAUGCGUAGAUAUCUGGAGGAACACCCGUGGCGAAGGCGGCUUCCUGGCCAUAUCCUGACGCUGAGGUGCGAAAGCCAGGGGAGCGAACGGG